rnacentral:lncRNA from 1 species
UAUAAAGCUGCUUAUCUAUAUUUCAAAUAAAACAUAAUGACUACAUAAUGAUUGCAGAGAUCAAAUCCAUUUAGAAAUUAAUGUCUCAAAUUACAAAGUAUCAGGUAAUGUUCUACCUACAAGAUUUAUUAGAAAUUCCUGGACUAGUUUACAAAAUUUUUACACUAUCUAACAACAUAUAUAUAAACUUUCAUAAUCUGUUCAAGAGAUCAAUGAAGGUGUCUUCUUUGCAUGGAAUUGUGAGGCCACCUUUUGGAUGACUAAACCCAAAUUCUUCCUCAGCCUGACUUAACAGGUCUUGGAACGUAGGCUCGUUUAAGUAAGAGAUCGGAACUACAAAUCUUCUUCUUUGGUUCUCCCCAACAUAGACUGCAACACAUCCCUUCGGGACAUUUGUUCUGUAAUCAAGAUUUUUUAAGGAAAAUUGUCUGUUGAGAAUUUGCUUGAGAUUAGUGAUAUGAGGCACACGAAUACCCAUGAUGCUCAAGAAAAAUUGAAACUUCAACGGAUAAUCUUUGGAGAUAUGGAAAAUACAAGAACUUCUGCCGAUGGAAGGCUUAGACCUUAAUUCCACUUGGUUUUGUGAUGAAUUUGGUUGAGGAUAUCACAGUUUUUAUAUAGAAAUAACAAGUAAUGAGCGGUUGAUCAAAAUGCAGAUUGAGUGGCACAGAUGGAUUAGGCAAUAGCACAUGCUAUUCUCUUUCAAAGGCCACACAUAUUUAAGAGUAAUGCUAGGACUUGAAUGUCUGCUGAGAGACAUCAUGUCCUACUGCUUCUGUUCAACAAAUCUGGACCUGAUAUUUUCUCAUGUUCUACUGAUAGUGGAGAUAAGACAGAAUAUAACGUAAUAUAUACGGAUAUGAACAAGGUACAAAUAAUUGGGUGGAAAGUCCUCACUUUGCCUGGCAAGCAAGGUAGCAAAUUUUAAGAAGUUAGUUUUUGUGGUCAGUAGUUGUGGGUGGGACGGACAAGUUAAGUGCUCAUGUGAUAGUGUUUUCAUUCACCUAUCCUAGCUGUUUAUUUUUUGUGCAGUAGGAAACACCUGAUACAAGUUGUUAUAUUCACGAAAGAAAGGGCAAAUCUUUGUAAGAAACAGAUUAUUAGGAUUUUGUGUGGUAGGAAACACCUCAUAUAAGUUCUCAUAUGUUUACAUUCACAACAGAAAGAAUAAUUUCAAGAAUAAACACUCAAAUUUUUUUAAGUACUGCAAUUCAUUUCUCAUACAAUGCUCAAGCAAGAAGUGAGUUUAAAGAAUAUGUCUACUUAACAUGGAAUAGUAAGACCACCUUCUACAUGAUCAAAUCUGAAAUCUUUUUGAGCUUGAAUAAUUAAUUCUUAAAGGGAGGUUCACUUAAAUAUGCAAUCGGAUCUACUUCUCUGGCCUCCCCAACAUAAACAGCCAUAAGCCUUUUGGAACAACAAGCACUGUUGAACUAGCAAGAUAUCUCAACACAGAAGACUGAUGGAUAACAAAAUAAAAGCCAUACGGUUUUCAUGGUGUAAUAACAAAAUUGACAAGAACGAUUAUAUAAUGAAAGUAGAUGUAGAGGAAAAUUUAGAUUGUGCGGCUAAUUAGUUUACGCUGACUUGUUUGCAGUUCCCUUUUUCUGCGAUUAGAUAUAAAAAGGAGAAAUAAAUUUUUAUCUAAAAUGUGAAAGAUCCACACGCCUUUCUCUUUGGCUCACCACAUAGAUUAACAACUCAGAGGCCAUAUCUAUUUCUGCUAGGAAACAUCUCAUGUUCCCAAUUGAUUGCUGAUGUGCACUACCUGAAAAUCAAUACUUCUGCAUCAGAUAAAGAUUUCAAGAGAGGGUAGCACAUGGGUCUGUAUCCUACUGCUUCUUGUACCACAAAAUCCUAGUACAUGCUUCAGACAAGGAUUAGAAGGUUGAUUUUAUGUUUGAUUAUCUUAAAAAUUCAAAUAACUGGACACCUAAAUAUUCAAGGGAGAGCUAUCAGACAACUAAGAAAUUUGAUUAUCCUUGGUAUUUGUAGGGCAAGUUGUGUCUUGGUAAGCAGACACAUAUCCCACACUCCUCCAACUUUGCUAUUCAUUAUGUAUUUGUAGGACAUCAUCAUGUGCUAGUGACUUAUUAUUUCAUUUUCAGUGUUCAAGAAACCUUCUAUAUAAACAUAGGGACUUUGACAUAAAUCAACACAAGCAAACUAGCAAACCUUCAUUUCUUUCAUCAAGCAUCGUCUCAUCCUUUCCCUCUCGACAUCCAUUUUAAGAAUACCAACUUAGAAACAUGGGUAUCCGCAUGCCUCGUAUUCCUCAUGUCAAGAAAAUUUUGCAGGGGUCUUCUUUUGCAACUACAGCAGUUUCAGACGUCCCAAAGGGCUGCUUGGCAGUUUAUGUUGGGGAGAGCCAAAGAAAAAGAUUUGUUGUUCCAAUUUCGUACUUGGCUGAGCCUGCCUUCCAGGACUUGCUAUGUCAAGCUGAGGAAGAAUUUGGUUUUGAUCAUCCAGAGGGGGGUCUUACAAUUCCCUGCAGAGAAGAUGUGUUUACAGAUCUCGCCUCAAGCUUGAGAAGAAAAUCAUAGAGAAGAACCUGAUCAAAAUAAGUAGUUUAGAAAUUUUUUGUAAGCUAGUAGGAGAUAAGUUAGAAAAGGUAGGACCAUAGGCAUUUAGGCAAAAACUUUCUUCCAGUGUCUCAAGGAAUCAUUUUCAAUGAGGAAGAUCAUUACUCAAAAUUUUGUAAAUUAUUAAACUAUAUACAUCCCAAUUAUAUUUUUAUGAUCUAAUUAUGUUGUUUGCAAAUAAAUUCCCAUCUGUUAUCAGUUCCACAUUAUUCUGAAAUUAAUCGAAAUUGGCAUAUAUUAUUCUGAGAUAAAUUUCUUGAAAAUUGAUAUGGGAGUGGGAGAAAGCAGUCCCUUAUCUUAUAUUCCUAUAUUACAGAAAGAAUUAGUCAGAACCUAUCUACAGUUACUCUGUGAUCAUAUUUACUGUUAGACCGAAAUUGAUCAAGCAUCGACCUGCGGAAGAUACUUAUCAGUAACUUUGAUAGUCAAAUCAGUAACUUUUGCAUGUAAUGUAAAUCUCCUUGUCAAAGAUUAAAACUGUGAACGUCAAGUCUGGUCAGAGUUGGAAAGUUAAACUUAUCUACCCAGAACCUAUAGAUGAUGUUAUUGAUAAAAACAGCAAACUUCAGAUGCAAUGAUUGAUGAAAAAAAAAUGGAAUGCAACGUCAAGAUUAUCAGUGGCUUACAUGAAGACUACAAAAAAACCUGCACAACUGAAAUUGGAGGGUUUAGGAUGUCAACUGUUAGAGUGAAAUUAAAUAAAGAUGUUCUUCACAUCCAUCCAAAGAGACCUUGGUAAUUCCAGGAUAUCAAUAUGAAUGAAUAAAUGGAUUCUUCACUGAUGAUUUCUAAAAAACAUAUUUCUGCGAAACUAGAAAUUAAGGCCUGCAGUCUAGCACAAAAGCCUGAGGCAAAGUUUAAACGUGAAAUACAUUAAAAGCCCCUACAAGGCACGUGCUUUUAAUUUAAAUCAUAUCUCUAAUUAAUUGCUCACUAUAUAUGUAGAAUUUGAAUUUAAUGUAUUUAGUUUUGUUUUUAAAUCUUAAAAUAAAACUUUUUGAACCUCCGCAUAGAAAAAAAGACCCGAAUAACACAAUUUUGGAGUUUAAUACCCUGAAUAACAAAUUUUAUAAAAAUGGCCUCAUCUGACAAGUAAAGCCGCUUGGCUAUUAGCGUUUAAUGUAAAGGGGCAACGCUAAUGCUUUUAGCGUUUUUGAAGUACGCCCCAGGGUCUAGUCUUUCUUUUUACUGGCACAAACACACACAACACACUGGUGCUCUCCUUGAAAUAAAUUAAUAUAUAUAUAUAUAUAUAUAUAUAUAUAUAUAUUUUGACCUUUUAACAUGUUUUUUCGAAAAAUAUAAAAAAUAUUGGUUCAAUUUAAUAAAGUAAAUCAACAAUCGUUAACAUUUAGGUUUUAAGUUUGGGUUGUAAAAUGAUUAAUUCAUACUUUAAAUUAAAUUGGCCGACGGUUAGGGUUUAGGAUUGAGGGUUUAGGGCCGUUAGGCCCUAAUCCCUCGAGCCUAAACCCUAAUUAAUGCGAGGCUUUAGGGCCGAGGCCCUAAAGCCGAGAAACCGGCUGAAUAAAUUAAUUUACAAUCGUUAACAUUUAGGGUUUAGGUUUGGGUAGCAGAAUGAUUAAUUCGUACUGUAUAUUAAAUUGGCCGACGGUUAGGGUUUAGGAUUGAGGGUUUAGGGCCGUUAGGCCCUAAUCCCUCGAGCCUAAACCCUAAUUAAUGCGAGGCUUUAGGGCCGAGGCCCUAAAGCCGAGAAACCGGCUGAAUAAAUUAAUUUACAAUCGUUAACAUUUAGGGUUUAGGUUUGGGUUGCAGAAUGAUUAAUUCGUACUAUAUAUUAAAUUGGCCGACGGUUAGGGUUUAGGAUUGAGGGUGUAGGGCCGGUAGGCCCUACUCCCUCGAGCCUAAACAUUAAUUAAUGCGAGGUUGCAGGGCCGAAGGCUCUAAAGCCGAGAAUCCGGCGGAAUAAAUUAAAUUAACAGUCGUUAAUUAACAUUUACGGUUUAUAUUUGGGUUUUAAAAGAAUUAAUUUUUGCAUGGCAUUAAAUUAUUAAAAUAAAUUAAUUGUUGUUAACAUUUUAGGGUGGAUGAUUAAUACUUGAAAAUUAAAAACAAAACAAAAUAAUAAAUAAAUAAAAAAAUAAUUAUAAGAUUAUUGUUAUAAUAUAAAAAAGAUUAUAAGAUUAUUGUUAAAUGAAAUUUAAAAAAGGUGUAGUUAUAAUUGUAAGAAUAGCUGGUUAGCAACUAGCGUUUUGACAACUCUUAAUAUGCCGUAAAGCGCUAUUCUCAAAAGCGUUUUAGUGAAUUUCGAAAACUAGUAAACGCCAAACAGUGUGUCGUUUGUCUUGGUUUGAAUGAAAAAAAAAAUAUACCAAUGCUACACUAAUUAAGUAGCAUUUUAGUGAGCACUAUUGGAUAGCCCAAGUAGUUGAGGGCUUAUCCUCUAUUGGCCCAGGUACUGGGUUUGACUCUGGCUCACCUCGAGAAUAUCUGAGAACAGAUACUCACAUUGUAAGGCUAUAAACCAUAUUAGUCAAAAAAAAAAAGUAGCAUUUUAGUUGAUUAAAAAACCAAAACGCUACAUACUAAACCAACAAUUUGGGGCCGAAACCCGUAUGCAUAUUCUAAUUAUUUAAUACUCAAUUUAUUGUUAGCAAUUCAAUAUUACCAAGAUAUAUUAAUUAAGAUUAUCCUCAAUAACAUCUGUUUAUUAAAACUCCUAAAGCAUUUGUAAUAUACUAAACCAACAAAACAGACGUCUGGCAAAUGUUGAUAGUAUAUUCAUCAGCGUGCUCAAAACAUGUAAAAGUUUACAUGAAAGUCUCAGUCAGAAUACAACUUCUAGACUAGUUUAGAAAUUUUGUACACUAACAACAUAUAACUUUUUACAUAUCUGCAGACAUGUAGAAACUUUCAUAAUCUGUUCAAGAAAUAAAUGAAAGUGUCUUCUUUUUGCAUGGAACUGUGAGGCCGCCUUCUGGAUGACUAAACCCAAAUUCUUCCUCAGCUUGACUUAACAGGUCUUGAAAUGUAGGCUCAUUUAAGUACGAGAUGGGAACCACAAAUCUUCUUCUUUGGUUCUCACCAACAUAAACUGCCAUGCAUCCCUUAGGGACAUUUGUACUAAAAUCAAGAUUUGUAGAGGAAAAUUGCCAUUUGAGAAUUUGCUUGAGAUUAGUGACACGAGGCAUGCGGAUACCCAUGAUGCUAAUCAAAAAUUAAAGUUUUCAGGUAAACUUUGGGGAUAUGAAACUACAAGGACUUCUGCAGAUUGAAGCUUCGACACCAGAAUACACUCAAUUCUGAAAUGACUUUGCUUGAGUUUCCAGCAGGGUUUAUAUAGAAUAUUGAGCUGUUAAUCAAAUUGCAGAUUGAGUGACACAGAUGCAUUAGACAUUAGCACAUGCUAUUUUCUUUGAAUAUCCUAAGGGUAGGACUUGUAUGUCUGUGAGUGACAUCUUGUCCUAUUACUUGUGUUGAACAAUUCCCUAACCUGGUUUUUGCUUUAAAAUUAUAGUUGAGAUAAGAGAGUUUAUAGUGGAGACUGUCAAGUUCGUCAGGCGAGGGAUUAAAUCUCAAGCUUUUAUUGGACAGGCAAGUUUGGUGCUCAUGUGAUGGUGUUUUCUUGACCUAUCCCAGCUGCUUCUUCCAAACAGAUUAUCAGAUAUCUUUGACAUGGUCUAGCUGCAUUAUGUGAAAAUAUCAACUUGGAGCUGGAAGAAACACUGUCACAUGAACACUUAUUAUUCCAACCCCACCAUAAUCAGUGAAGACAAACCCGAAACAUAAAAUCCAUAUCAUGCCACCCAGAUAAACCUUUGGAGGAGUCUUUAGCCAUAGACUAGUGAUUUUGUGUGCUCCAUGUUAAAUCUGCGGUGCAUUUAUGCCCUUUCUUUUAAUUUGUAUAUUACUUAUACACAUAUAACUGUAGGACAUCAAAUUUUCUUCAACAAACGUAUUACAGGCCAAAAUUACAUAUUGAGUCGUGAUUUAUUAUACAGACGUAGUAGGACACUCUGUCUCCCAACACAUAUAGAUGUCCACCUAUCAGUCAUUAAUACGUGUGGCUACUGAAGAAAAAAUCAUGUGCUAGUGUCUAAUGCCUACUCACCGCUCAAUGUACCAUUUGAUGAGAUCGAUGUUCUACACAACUUUCUGAUUGUUCUAUAUAAACACAUAAUUAAGCGAUACUAACAUUCAUCACAAACUCACUGGUCUAAAGUCUUUUCCUCAAAACUAUACAAGUCUAGUGUUUCUUCAGUUUCCUGAACUCUUCCCUGGAAGAUCUAAAGUGUCAUGGGUAUCCGUAUGCCUCGUAUUACUAGUUUCAAACAAAUCCUUAACCGCUCAUCUUUGUUAUUAAAUCCUGAUCUUACUUCAAUGAUUCCAAAGGGGUGCUUGGCAGUUUAUAUUGGGGAGAGGCAAAGAAGCCGAUUUGUGGUUCCCAUUUCGUACCUGAAUGAGCCUGCCUUUCAAGAAUAGUUAAGUCAAGCCGAGGAAGAAUUUGGAUUCAAUCAUCCGGAAGGAGGUCUUACAAUUCCUUGCUCAGAGGACACAUUCAAUGAAAUCACUUCGCGCCUGAACAAUUUAUAUACUUGUAGAUAGUAUAGCACCUCCGAUCUCAUUUGAUGAGUUUCUGAGUGUAAAUUGCAGAACAUAUAGGAUUUAUAUAUAAUUUUUUGUAGGUAAAGCUUAAUUUGAUACUCGAUUUUUUUGAACAUAUUGACCAUCACAUAUAGUCAUAGAUACUUUUAUUUCUCUAAAGCAUAAUACUAAUUUGAUAAACUUUAUGCCUAAAACAAAUCACUGACACAUAAGGCCGCCAUUUUUAGCAAUUCCAAAUGGCUGCUUAUAUUGGGAACAUCCCAAACAAAGGAAAUUUGUAUUUACUGUUUCAUACCUUAAUUUUGCAAUUGUCUUGAUAAAUCAGCCUUGACAGAAGGGUGAUUUUUGCUAACUCUUAAUUAAAAUUUAUAUUUAUAAGCAGUUCUGACUAAUUUAUAAAUAUAUCUCAGGCAUAGUUUAACCUAUUUAAGUCAUUUAUUAUCACGAAUACUCCUUCUGCUCCUCAGCCUACAGUGGUUAUUAGUUAGCACUUUGUGUAUCAAUGUGUGCAAUGUUGUAGCUAACGCGUUAACUAUCGGGUCUGGGUAGUGCUUUCGCAAGAAUGAAACCUUUUGUUGUUGACCUACCCAAUCGAAAUCAUCAUAAGACUCGUGAUGAUCAACCUUCCGAAUAAGUUCCCAUCGUAUUCAGGCUUUUCAACAAAUUAAGUUAAAAUUUUGUAAUUUUCCUGCAAAGCCUUCUAAGAUCUAAUACAAAUUAAAAUAAAUACUGUACAUAAAAUUUUAUAAGAACUUGACAGAAACUACCCUAACAAUUUCACAUUCUGCCUCUCAAAUCAGAAAAUUUAAAUUUUAAGGUGUUUUUUGUUAACAGAUUAAGAUUUAUAUAAGUCUAAACAAAUCAAUGUGUGUUUUAAAAAAUAAAAAGACUUUUGUGCAUUCCCUCUAGCCGCCUCCUCCAUCUUUUCAUUCCCGACGGGGCUUCCAUCGGUUUUCCGGUGGAAAGCCCCAAAUCUUUCCGUUUGAUUGCUAGUUCUUUGAUUGUUUUUGCUUUUCAUUGAUUUUCUUAAUAAAUCUCCUUCUUUAAGGGGGAAAAUUUCUUAGAUCUAUAUCACCGAACUUUUGAUUUUCGUUCUUAUUCGCUUCCAGAAGGCUUUUUGGAUUUGUGGGUGGAUCGAUUAUCUCUACGUGUCGUGGUGCAGAUCUAAUUGCUUUAGUUUUUAGUUGGAUUUUCUCUAGUUUGUUUGGAUUAUAGUUUGAUUUCUCUCCCUGGUGAGAGUGUGUGAUUUUUCUCUCCUCUUUUGUGAGAGUUGGUUUGGAUUCAUCGAUAAAAGCCUUCGAGAAGUGCAUUUGUGGUUGAUAGCUCAAACGGAGUUUUUGAAAAAGAUAAUGAACACAGAGCAAGGAUCUAUACAUGUACCAUCGUCAAUUUCAACAUCGCUUAUUUGUCUCAUCUUGACUAUGAAGACAGGCAUGUUAAUAUUUUCUAUGUUUGUUCGACUCGAUCAUUCUUGUAGAUGCCGUAUGGCUAUUAUUUAAUGAAUUAUUUCCUUUUCUUCAAAAAAAAAAAAAAGAUUUAUAUAAGUCUCAGUCUUAUAUAAAAUGUCUGGACUAGUUCAAAAAAUUUGUAAAGUAUCUAAGAACAUAUCACUAUGUAUGUAUCUGUACACAUAUAUAUAAACUCUCAUAAUCUGUUCAAGAGAUCAAUGAAGGUGUCUUCUUUGCAUGGUAUUGUGAGGCCGCCUUCUGGAUGACUAAACCCAAAUUCUUCCUCAGCUUGACUUAACAGGUCUUGAAACGUAGGCUCAUCUAAGUAUGAGAUCGGAACCACAAAUCUUCUUCUCUGGUUCUCCCCAACAUAAACUGCCAUGCAUCCCUUAGGGACAUUUGUACUACGAUCAAGAUAUGUGGAGGAGGAUUGGCGGUUUAGAAUAUGCUUGAGACUAGUGAUACGAGGAACACGGAUACCCAUGAUGCUAACAAAAAAUUUGUAGUAUUCAGGAUAAACUCUGCUGAUAUUGAAAUACAAGGACUUUUGCAGAUGGAAGGCUUAGACACUUGAAUACAAUUGAUUAUGUGAUGAAUUUGGUUGAGUUUGUGAUAGCGGUUUUAUAGAGCUCGGAAGUAUUGAACAGUUGAUUGAAAUGCAGAUUGAGUGGCACAGAUGCAUUAGGCAUUAGCACAUGCUAUUCUCUUUCAAUGGCCACAUAUGUUUAAGACUAAUGGUAAGACUUAAAUGUCUGUUAAGAGACAUCAUGUCCUACUACUUUUGCUCAACUAAUCUGAACCUGAUAUCUUCUUAUUCAACCAUAUGUUUGAUGCUUAUAGCAUAGCUAAGAGAGUAUAUAAGCCUAAAAUACACUUAUAUGAACGCCAUACAAAUAAUUUGGGUGGAAACUCUUGAGUUUUAGGUGGGACAGACAAGUUAGGUGCCCAUGUGAUGGUGUUCUCUUCCCCUGUGUUAGCUGUUUAUUUUGUUGAUUUGAUGAAUCAUUUAGUAGAAAACAGUGGCUGCUGGGGCUUAAUCAAGCAGACGCAGUAAGGUUGAUGUCUCGCAACACACAGAAAUCAAAUAUUCUUGGUCUUAUAUACUUGUGCUAGUGUCUACUGCUUCUUCACCACUCGGAUAAUAUUUCUAAUAAAUUGUUUAAGUAGUUCUAUGUUCUAUAUAUACUUAUAUUUAAGCAUUAGUAGAAUUCAUCACAAACUCAAUUGCUUCAAGCUUUAAACUUACAUUUCCUUGUGUUUCUGUUGUUUUCCUCAACUCUUCAGUAAAAGAUCCUUGAUAAGUAGGGGCAUGCUGUCUUGCAACAGACAGAGAAGUCAUUCAAUCAGUCAUAAAUAUAUGUAGCUAUUGAAAGAGAAAAUCAUGUGCUAGUGUCUAAUGCCUCUUCACCACUCAAGUUACAUUUUAAAGAACUGUUCAAUUUUCUAUAUAAAUACAUAGCUGGGCAUUAGUAAAAUUCAUCUCAAACUCAACUGUCUAAAGUCUUCACUAUACAAUUCCUUUUCUUUCUCCAUAUUCUCUAAUUGAUCUAAUAGUAUUAUGGGUAUUCGUAUGCCUCGUGUUACCAAUCUCAAGAAUAUCCUAAACCCGUCUUCUUUCUUGAUAAGUCCUGAUUAUACUUCAACAGUUCCGAAGGGUUGCUUGGCAGUAUAUAUUGGGGAGAAGCAAAGAAGACGAUUUGUGGUCCCCGUUUCAUACCUGAAUAAUCCUGCCUUCCAGGACUUGUUAAAUCAAGCUGAGGAAGAAUUUGGGUUCAGCCAACCAGAAGGCGGCCUCACUAUUCCCUGCUCAGUGGAAACAUUCAUCCACCUUACUUCGAGCCUAGAUAGAAUAUAGUCAGAAAACAUUUAUGUACAGGUAGAUAGUACAGCAUUAAAAUGUAAUUAGUAGAAAGGAGAAUUUUAUAGAUUUUGUUGGCAACGGAUAAUUUGAAACUCACCAUUUUGUUGAAUUUAACAUUACCAAAAUUUAUUGAUCAUAGUUUCUACUUAUAAAUUUAGAUAUAAAAAGAGACCAUGCAACUAUUAAACUGAUGGAGAGAAAUUAUUACACAGCACACGGAUUUCCUUUAUGAAUCUUAAGUAUCCAAGAAGAUAUAAAAAGGCCAGAAUCUGAAAAACUAACUCCAUCUGACUUCGCAUAGAAAAGAAGAUGUUACAUGUGGAAACUCCCAUAUCUUCAAGCAGUCUAAUCAUCCAGGUACUUCAGCGGCAGCAAGAGCAGUUCCUUAGAUUUUAGGCAUCUAGGAAAUUUUUUCUGAUUACAAUGAGACAGCAGUUUUUCUUGUGUCUUGGCAACCUGGUGCAUGUAAUGAAAGAUGAUUUAAACUGUGAAUAUCGUCUGGUCAGAGUUGGAAAGUUAAACUGUGAACCUAUAGAUGAUGUUCUUGAAAAUACAGCAAAUUUUAUAUAAAAUGAUUGUUGAAUGCAGACAGGUUUACAUAUUAUCCUUUAGAUACUUAAAUGAAAAACAAAUGGAAUGACACAUGAAGACUACAAAAAAACCUGCACAACUGAAAUUGGAGGGUUGAGUUUGUCAACAAUUAGAGUGAUCUCGGUAACUCCAGGAUAGCAAUAUAUAUGAAUAAAUAGAUUUGACUAAACAAAAGAAAUUCUUCACUGAUGAUUUCUAAAAAACAUAUUUCUGCGUAAUGAGAUGGUUACUCUAAUCUUCCCUAGGUCAUCAAAUGGAAGUGGACUGACUACUAACAAUUCGGCUGGGUACUAACAUAGUACCCAGCCGAAUUGUUAGUACCAGAUAAUAGCUAUUUGUUUCUUAUAUUUGCGCAAGACUAAAGUGAGGUUAACAGAUGUAUUAUACAUGGAAAAGCCACUUCAGACUACAAAGACCUGGAAAUUUCUCUUCUCUUGAACACUUACAUUUGUGAUUGGAACCAAUAAUGUAUAAAACUGCUAAUCUGUAUUUAUAAUAAAAACUACUUAUAGAGAUAUAUAAUGACUACAUAAUGAUUGCAGAGAUCAAAUCUAUGUAGAAAUUGAUGUAAUCAAAUUACAAAGUAUCAGCUAAUGCUCUCCCUAAAAGAUUUAUAUGAGAGUCAUAUAUAAAAUUUCUGGACUAGUUUACAAAAUUUGUACACUAUCUAACAACAUAUAUAUAAACUCUCAUAAUCUGUUCAAGAGAUCAAGGAAGGUGUCUUCUUUGCAUGGAAUUGUGAGGCCGCCUUCUGGAUGACUAAACCCAAAUUCUUCCUCAGCCUGACUUAACAGGUCUUGGAACGUAGGCUCGUUUAAGUAAGAGAUCGGAACUACAAAUCUUCUUCUUUGGUUCUCCCCAACAUAAACUGCAACACAUCCCUUUGGGACAUUUGUACUACAAUCAAGGUUUUUUAAAGAAAAUUGUCUGUUGAGAAUUUGCUUUAGAUUAGUGAUAUGAGGCACACGAAUACCCAUGAUGCCUUAAGAAAAAUCGAAAUUUCAACGUAUAAUCUCCGGGGAUAUAGAAAAUACAAGAACUUAUGCAGAUGGUAGGCUUAGACCCUUAAUUCCACAAGAUUUUGUGAUGAAUUUGGUUGAGGAGAUUUUGUGAUGAAUUUGGUUGAGGAUAUCACAGUUUUUAUAUGGAAAUAACAAGUAAUGAGCGGUUGAUCA